UUUUGACUUGAAAUGAGAGACAAGUUACAGGCAGAAUUUUUUUUUGCAAGGAAACAGCUAAUUGUGUAAGAAAAGUGAAAAGGCGGAUUAUCUUUAAUUCGGACGCAGAAGAAAGCUGAAUUGCCGAAAGAAAUGAAAAACAACAUGUGCCUAAGAUUGGUUGUCGUGCUCCUGCGGUUAGGUUUAGUAGCCAAGUGCAUUAAACUAGAGCUUAUGACAGAAAAUAUCGUUGAUGGACAAGAAGUUGAAAUAAGAUGCUCUGGGGUCAAAACUUUUGACUUCUAUUUUACUGCAAAAAGCUCAAAGAAUCAAAAUGAAAGAGUCAAAAUUGGUAGCUGUUCGUCAUUUCAUGACUGCGGUUUAGCAGAACUAAUUCAUGAUCAAACGUAUAACAUAACACCAAUGGACGAUGGUGGGACACUGAAGAUUUUAAAAUACGGACACGACGCCGAGGGUACUGACACAUGUAAAGAUGUGUUAAACUCCACGCAGGAAGCAAGCAUGCAAGUGGCUCCAAAAUCUGUUAAUAACAUUGCAAGUGACUUUAACACAGGAACAUAUGUAAUUUUCUUCUGUUUGCUGAUUGUGCCAAUUUUCAUUAUUUGAAUCCCUUGGAUACGAUGUUCAACAUUCCGAAAAUAAGCGAAUGUGCCUUAUACUUAUUUUCCAACACAACACAUAUCGAAAUCAUAUUAGGUAUACUUUCUGUGUUUUUUUACAACUUCUUUACCGUAGGAUUUUAAGUGUAUAAAAUCAUAGUAUUUACAUUCCUGUGUAUUACGAUAUUUUGAUAACAAAACGUUUUUUGGAUAGUAAAUUCGAUUAAAAUAACAUUUUUGUAAAAUAUUGUAUUUUAGUUUGUUUUCAGACAUUUGAUUCAUUAUGGAUUUUGAUGGCUGUGAUAUUUGUUGUGAUAUGUUUGUUCUUUUUAUGCAUUCGUUAUAUUUGGUAUACGUGUUUAUUCAGGUCUGAUGCAUACAAGCAUUUAUCUCAGCAUUGAAUUGAAUAAAAGCAUAUUUAGGAAGAAAAUAAAACAAACGUGGAAACAGCUGAAUUGUACAUACGAAUGUAAUAAUUUUAUUGUUAAAAAUUCUAUGAUAGUUGGUUUAAAGAGACAAAUUAAUAAUGAUUCAUAUUUUUAUUGAUAUUUGUGAUAUUUUAUUUAUUUUAUAAAUAGUAUAUAUGUGACAUCUUUUGCUCAAAUUCUAGCUCAACUGCUGAGAAAGGGCUUUUUUGAUAGGUAAUUUUCAUGAGUCCAGCAUUUUCAAAAAUGCCACCUCCUUUAUUGGCCUGAUAGUGUUGUGAUUAUUAUUUAUUCAAAAUUUUGUUAUUGCUCUUGUCAACAGAUGUUUGAAGGUUGAAACGCCCCAGUCCACACCAUCCAAAGAUAACAUGCUGUAUUUUCAUAUUAUAUUACUUUUUAAAAGAUUUCGGUUGAGUUUACAAAAGUAUACUUCAUUGUCUAUUGGGAAAAGGUAACAAAGCUUAUAAAUACUAAUUGUUAUACAUGUUAUCUAGUAUACGCAUAUUAAAAUAGUUACUCAUACUCAGUACCUUUCAGUGCGUGACAGAAACGAUUGUUGAUGCUUUGAGAGUUGGUCUAGAUUUGUUCAUGAAUAAGUAUAGAUAAAAAAGUAAGUUUUUUUAUGGUCGUCUUGUUUUUUGCAUGAAAAAGACGGAAUGAGAUUCCAAAGAAUUUAACAUGCUGAAAAAAAUAUUGUAUAAACUUAUUUACAUUCACCAAAAACUGUCCCAUUAAAAGUUAUAUAAAUUUUCCUGCUCCCUUUAAUAAGAAUGUUAUGGAUACUUAAAAUUUAAAUCAUUGAGUGAAUUUUUAGCAACAUCUUUAAAAUAUUUUGCUUAAUGUUAUCCGUAUAAAACAAAUAUUAUUCAUUAACGGUUCUUUACCAAGGUUCUAUAAAUCGUUUGGGUAUAAUAAGAAGUAAUUGUAUGCUUUACAUAUAAAUUUAUCAUUCUAAAACCUCAAUUAAACUACAUAUUUGAUUUUAACCUAUUAACUGGCCAUAUUGAUGACACUCUUUAGUGAAUUUAUAGUGAAUUACUUAGUGUUAUUGUUAUUGAAAGAAUAUAUCUGAGUAGCUACUGAAGAAACGAGUUUGACAAUACAAUUAAUUCUUCAAAGCUGCCAAAGAGUUUUGCUACAUACCAAAAUUAAAAAGAUUAUCAGACACUAACUAAUAUGCAAAUGUAGCUUAAUGGCAUUCCUGUUGUUUGGUAAAUCAUCUUUGUUGUUGGCUUGUUAUCAAAACUGCACCUCAUUAAAACACUUACUUGAAUAUAUUACUAAAAGUAUGUAAAAUGUGCAUUCCAUUUAAAGCUCCAGUUUACAUUUAUUAACAAUAUUCAAAGGCAGUAAUUGUUUCAACUUGGCAUCGUACGUGUACAUCGUACUUACAAAAAAGAACAUUACAAAAGGUUUACUAACUUUUUGUAGUACAUUUUUGUGUAUAAAAUAGCCGUGGAUGUCACUGUUGAUCCAAACAGUCAGUUAAGUUAAUACUGGUUGUUGUAUUUUAUUUUAAGCAUUGACAUUUUCACAUUCAUAAUUAACAAAGAAAACAAAAACUUAUUUUUGAGUAUAGAUGUGUGAUUUAAAUUCUGACCGUAUGCGGUAUUAUUGAUUGUGUUACAACAUAGCUCAUUAAUGUAUAAUCAGAACCGUAGAUAAGUAACUAUACUGUUCAAAUGUUGUUAGAAUGUUGUCCAUUUAUUUUUGUAUCAGAUAAUCCCAUAAAUUAUUCAUAUAUUUAUUGUUGAGACUGUGACAGUAAAAUACGGACACGACGCUGAGGGUAUUUACACAUGUAAAUAUGCGUCAAACUCCACGCAGGAAGCAAGUGUAGAAGUGGCUCCUAAUGUUCAACAUUCCGAAAAUAAGCGAAUGUGCCUUAUACUUAUUUUCCAACACAACACAUAUCGAAAUCCUAUUAGGCAUACUUUCUGUGUUUUAUGCCCCCCUUCGAAGAAGAGGUGGUAUAUUGCUUUGCUCAUGUCGGUCGGUCUGUCGGUCCGUCCGUCCGUCCGUCCACCAGGUGGUUUCCGGAUGAUAACUAAAGAACGCUUGGGGCUAGGAUCAUGAAACUUCAUAGGUACAUUGAUCAUGACUUGCAGAUGACCCAUAUUGAUUUUGAGGUCAAAGGUCAAGGUCACAGGUGAAGGUCACAGUUACUGGAAAUAGGCAUUUUAAGGAUUUAGCAUGGUUCAAACAAGGGAAACAACUACCGUUUAUGCAUGUUCUUUUUAUUACAGCAUUUUCCUCCCUUUAACUCAUUUAAAAUCUCAUUUUACAGCAGAGAUUCCAAAUCUGACCUGUAAAUGAGCCCCAUAUUUACUGCCAGUGCUAGGUUACCUUUUCCCAUGUCCGCGGUCGAGUGGCAUAUAGCAGUUGAACUGUCCGUCAAUCUGUCCGUCAGUCAGUCUGUCCGUCCGAAAACUUAAACAUUGCCCAUAUCUUUUGCAAAAUUGAAGAUAGCAACUUUUGGUAUGCUUGUUUAUCUCAUGGAGCUGCACAUUUUGAGUGGUGAAAGGUCAAUGUCAUCCUUCAAGGUCAAAAGUCAAAUAUAUUGCUUCAAAGCGGCGCAGUAAGGGGCAUUGUGUUUCUGACAAACGCAUCCUUUAUUAGACAUUUUAGUCAGUUUUGUUUUAAUCAAUUAGGUAAUCAUUGAUUUUAAGUUAUAAAUAUUUUGAUAACAAAACGUUUUUUGGAUAGUAAAUUCGAUGAAGAUAACAUUUUUGUAAAAUAUUGUAUUGUAGUUUGUUUUUAGACGAAUAGUUAUUGAUUCAUUAUGGUCCAUGAUGGCCAGUUGUUGUUGGGAACUGCAAUUAGAUUUUACUCAUUUUCAUUAUCAAUGAUUCUAGCAGAGAAUUACGCUUUGUUUUCUUAUUUUAAACACAAAAAUAUCACUUUAAAUUCUGAAUAGGGAUUGCAAUUGCAUGUUAGUUGUUAUAUGAUUUUGUAUAUUUGAAUAAAUGCUUCAAGACA